UACCGGAACCUUUGCUUCUUCUUCUCCAUCCGCCGUCGCCGCCGCCACCGCCGCAGCUGCCACCGCUUCCACCGCUUCCACGCCAAGAAGUAGGAUGGCCACGACGGCGACGAACGACAAGACACAA
rnacentral:ribozyme from 1 species